rnacentral:rRNA from 1 species
GACGAACGCUGGCGGCGUGCCUAAUACAUGCAAGUCGAACGCUUUUUCUUUCACCGGAGCUUGCUCCACCGAAAGAAAAAGAGUGGCGAACGGGUGAGUAACACGUGGGUAACCUGCCCAUCAGAAGGGGAUAACACUUGGAAACAGGUGCUAAUACCGUAUAACACUAUUUUCCGCAUGGAAGAAAGUUGAAAGGCGCUUUUGCGUCACUGAUGGAUGGACCCGCGGUGCAUUAGCUAGUUGGUGAGGUAACGGCUCACCAAGGCAACGAUGCAUAGCCGACCUGAGAGGGUGAUCGGCCACACUGGGACUGAGACACGGCCCAGACUCCUACGGGAGGCAGCAGUAGGGAAUCUUCGGCAAUGGACGAAAGUCUGACCGAGCAACGCCGCGUGAGUGAAGAAGGUUUUCGGAUCGUAAAAACUCUGUUGUUAGAGAAGAAACAAAGG